UACGGAGGGUGCGAGCGUUGUCCGGAAUUACUGGGCGUAAAGGGCUCGUAGGCGGCCAACUAAGUCGGACGUGAAAUCCCCAGGCUCAACCUGGGAACUGCGUCCGAUACUGGAUGGCUUGAAUUCGGGAGAGGGAUGCAGAAUUCCAGGUGUAGCGGUGAAAUGCGUAGAUAUCUGGAGGAAUACCGGUGGCGAAGGCGGCAUCCUGGACCGACAUUGACGCUGAUGAGCGAAAGCUAGGGGAGCAAACGGG
rnacentral:rRNA from 1 species